ACCACUGAGCCAUCUCUCCAGUCCUUAUUAAUAAAUUUUUACUAAAAAUAUUAGAAGGCUGGGGAGAUGGCUCAGUGGU
rfam:Rattus norvegicus chromosome 5, whole genome shotgun sequence.